AUGAUUGUUGGUCUCCGAGAUGGCCGAUGGACCGUCACUUGUUUUACAGAAGAGCAUACACAUCAAAUGGUGCAGUAGGAAGAGAAGGUUAGGUUUUACCGCUCUCAUCGAAAGAUUCCGCGAGAAGACCACCAAAUGAUAAUGACGUUGCAUGAACGCAACUUGUCGACCUCAGAUUGCAUGGGUAUCCUUGGAGAUUAUCAUGGAGGUGAUCAGAGGCACAUUGGUUAUGUGAAAAGAGAUGUUUCAAAUGCACGAUCUGAGAUGCGGCAAACCAUGGCAUUUAAGGAUAUGGUCAUGACAGUGAAAUACUUUAUAAGGCGGCAAGCUGAAAGCCCACAAUUCUUCUAUGCAACACAAGUGAAUAAGGACACCAAUGCUGUGGAAGCAUUGUUUUGGGUGGAUGGGAGGACAAGAGCACUGUACCCCAAGUACAGGGACCAUGUCUUCUUUGAUACAACCUUUUGCACCAACAAAUACAACAUGCCUUUUGCUCCCAUAGUUGGCAUCAACAACCAUCUUCAGACUAUUGUCCUAGGGUGUGCAUUGCUUCCAAAUGAGCAAAUUGAAACCUUCAAGUGGGUCUUUCAGCAAUGGUUGAUUGCCAUGAACAAUGAGUACCCAACAAACCUUAUGACAGACCAGUGCAGAGCAAUGGAAACUGCCAUUUCUGAUGUGUUCCCUCACACAGUCCAUAGGUGUUGCAACUCGCAUGUACAGCGCAAGGCGCGUGAGAAACUUGGGAGGAUGCUUACAAGGGAUUCAACAUUUGAGAAAGCUUUCUACGAAUGCAUCAAUGAGUCUGAGACAGUGCAUCAAUUUGAAGAAACAUGGCAGCACAUGCUGCAUUGCUUUCAGUACGCAGAGAAUAGGCACUUGCCAAACAUGUGGGAAUGA
rnacentral:rRNA from 1 species